rnacentral:rRNA from 1 species
UACGGGGGGGGCAAGCGUUGUUCGGAAUUACUGGGCGUAAAGGGUUCGUAGGUGGCCAACUAAGUCAGACGUGAAAUCCCUCAGCUUAACUGGGGAACUGCGUCUGAUACUGGUUGGCUUGAGUGCAGGAGAGGAACGCGGAAUUCCAGGUGUAGCGGUGAAAUGCGUAGAUAUCUGGAGGAAUACCGGUGGCGAAGGCGGCAUCCUGGACCGGCAUUGACGCUGAGGAGCGAAAGCCAGGGGAGCAAACGGG